ACGGUGCUGUGGAGCGCACCCAGGGAGCGGUGGGCGCCCAGCCCGGAGUGCUGGGGCCGCCCCCAGCAGUGUCCCUGUGCUCGGAGCCGCCAGGUCUGAGCGUCUCCCCUCAGUCCUGACGUUGCUUUUCUUCUUUUCCGAUCAGUCAGAGAGAAUUCUACCCCCUCACCCCCGCCCCGUAGUCUGCGAGGGCAGGGUAUGGGCUUUCUGAAAAGGUAACUGUUGUAGAACUGCUCUGCAUCUAUCCGGAUAAAUCUGGGGCAAUGAUGGUCCUCGAUGACGGCUGGAGAGUGAAAUAAGGGCGAACAUUCUGUGUUGUUACUUGAACUAAGACAGAACAAGAAAAGUUGAGCCCUGUGAAAUGCUGUUUGCAGUUUGUCUUGAAACCUACAGAAAAAGGCAUGUAAUUCAGUGUCCUGGACAUAAGCAGGUAGAAUGAAAGAUGGAAGAAUUUUCACUUUUCUGGCCUUUUCCUGAUGACAGUGGCUUUGACUGGGGGCCCUGAUCUCCCGAAUACUGAUUAUCUUACGUUCCUCAGUUCUGAAAACCUUCAAGCACAGAGUCAGGUAUCCUGCCAGCAGCUCUGCAGCAGUCAAUGCUUUUGCAAUACUGGGCUCUGCUCAUUUCAAAACUGUGAAGCAAUCCAGCUUAGCAGUCAGCAGAGUGUAAAACUGAAUAGUAGGAAGCAUUGGAGAGCACCUACUCCAGUUUCAAGCAGAAGAAAACCUUAAAACUUCAAGGAUCAGAAUGCUGGGGCAUCUCCACUGACAGGAAAUCUAACAGGCAGAGAUGGGAAAAAAAUUAGGAGAUGAAUACACGAGAAGAGUUCUGCUGUAUGCUGCAAAUUUCCCACUGUGGUACCAGACAGCCCUUGUUGAUCAUGCCUGAAGAACAUAUUCUUUCCCUGAAUAUGAAACAUGGCAACCCACUGUACUAGGGCUCAGGAUUGAUAUUGCUGUCCUGCAGGGAUAAUUGGGAAUUUACCAAACCAGAGCAACAGAUGCCUUGAGAGACGCAAGUAUCUUUCAGGAGGUACCUUAUCAUGUAUCUGUCAUAAAGCCAAAGUAGGAGCAACUGUUCAUUCUAAGGAAAUGCAAGGAAAAGAAUUGCUCCACCUUGCAGGUACAAAACAAAAUGCCAUGUUCCUCACAGCAGCCAGAGUUGGCAUGGAUAAACAGCUCUCCCAGAGGGACCUGCUUCCCUGGGGGAAGAUGCUGCCCAGGACAGUAACGUUUCUGCUACUAGAGCUGAGGGGAAAGGCCAUACUUGGCACCUGAUGUUAGGUCAGAAUUGGAGCUGGAACUUUGAAUACAAUUUUUUUCCCCCAAAAAUGGUCCUGUACUCUACUCUCUCAGCCUUGUCCUCAGCUAACGUGUUGCAGUAUUGCUUAGGGGUGAGCUGUGCUGAUGCCAGUGCUGUACUCUUGCUGGUUUGGAGCAUGGGGUCUGCCUGGCCAGGUCCGGGAGGAGCUGAGAAGAUGGACUGGCUUGCAGUGCUGUUUGAAAGCUGCACAGACCUCUUUCCUAGCAGAAUGUUUAAUGGAAUCUGCUUCCUUGAAACCAAAAUGAGGCAACAGCUGUGAUUGCAGCAAGCUGUAACAUCUUAUUACUGGAUGGAGGCACAUCCUGUUACAAGUGGUGCUGCUGCAAAACCUCAGCAAAAGAACCUACUGAGACCUGCCCGGCUGGGGGCUCUGAAUUCCCCUGAGGCCUCAAGAAGAAGCUUGGAAUGUGGUGCCAGCACACCAGCAGACAGUGAGAGAAACCGAGGGAAGCACCUCCAAGAUAAGUAAUAAAUGAUAAUUGUUAUUUCCUAUUAUUCAUCUGAAUCUCUACUCCUGAGAAGUGGAGUUAAAUCCUAAAUUUUACUUUAUUUUUAAGCAGAUCAUCCAGCAAGUUAAAAAACAGCAACACAAGGAGGUCCUAAGAUAGGGUUUGCUCCAAUUUUCCUGCUGAGCAUCUGUUUAGGAAUUGCUGCUAAAAAAAGUCAGAGGGGAUGGUAGUUGCUGUGCUGUCACAUGGGCUGAUACAGUGCAGAAUCUGCUUAGCAUUCUUGAAGGGAAAUUAUCCAGUGCUGUAACUCACAAUUUAUAAUUGGUUGCAUAUUAAUAUCUAAAAAAGGCAAUAAAAUCCACUGUGUGUUUAAAAAAAAUAGUAAGUAGGAGUAUUACAAGCUGAGCAGUGAAAAUCUGGAAGACUUCUUGGCUAGAGCAAGGCUGUGUGCAGUGCUAUUUCUCCCUUAAUUACAAGCAAUUUUAAAUCAUCUCCUUCCUUCAAAGAAGGAUUUUGUUCAGGGUGUGUGUUAAUUUUAAUCUUGCUAACGUGAUACUCUCUUGGAACCUCUCCCUUGUGUCAUAACAGUGAGAUGUGCUGCCUCUUUUGUCCCUGCCCUUUGGGAAAUGCAGUUACUGCUGCUCGUUGCCUCAACCCUGCCAUCGUGACUGUCAGUGUACCUCCCUUGAAAGGAGAAGAAAACAAAACCCAACAGCAGCAUUGCUUUUCCCCCCCCCAGAGGUUCACUUUUGUUUGUACUAUUUAAGCUAGACUGUGCAAGUACUUCAUGAAAAUCAGGGAUUUAAAAUGUAUGGUGCUGUAUUAUGCUGUAUUAUAGCGGAAAGCUUGUUAUUCAGCACACUAAUUAUUUCUGAGUCACUAUAUUUAUGAAAUGGCAUGUAAUAACUACUUCACCAGCACGCAAAGUAAAUAGUAUAAAAGCAAGCAUUUUAUGAUUUUGACAUUUUAGUGUAUAAACAUAUUCCUGGAUCUCCUGAGGGGCUACUGGAAAUCAGAUAAUGUUUUUAUGACUUUUAAAAAAUGACAUUGAAUUUCACAGUCUGUAACGCUCCAUAUAUAUGGUUAAUGUUGCAUAUUUUAUUACAGCCUCAGUGGCUUAUGUUACAAGUGUCAGCUGCAAAGAGAAAAUGUACAAAGGCGGGUCUGUGGAACUGUGGGGGAAACAAUAUUGUAGAACCUUGCAAUGCACACAUCAAAGCCCUUGGACAAGCUGUAAUGGCAGGUCCUGGGCCAUGCUGGGACACCAGAAUUCACCCUCUGCUUUUUUUCGUGUCAGGAUGGAUUACAAAGCCCUCACUGAAGGAGGGUUUCUGCCCACACUUGUCACUAGAGGAUAAGUAAGUUUGGUUUUUUGUCAAGCCCUGUGUGAAUGACCUGUUAACUCCAGAGGAACUGGGACGCCUUGAGUGACACUCUGUGACCUGGACUGCACUGACUUCUGCAUUUCAGGAAUGUGACUCCUGUCCUUGACCUCGUCUGCAGAUAAAUACAACAUGCCCCUUAGUGCUGAGUGGUUUGGGAAGAAUUUCAGCCAGACAAGAGAGGGGAGAUAAUGGAAAGACAGGCUAUGACAGGAACUGGGCUGUCUGAUUCUGCAAUGUGGGAAUCGCCUUUUCUCAGCUGCCAGUGUCAAAGUCAAGCUUGCAUUGCACAAAUAAAAUGGGGUAUUCCACACACACACCUGCACCCUUUCAAUUGUCACUGAUAUUUAUCAGAGGGAAUAUUCAAAACAUUAUUCCCUCCAAUACAGAAUGGCUGUUGGGUGUUAUCAGAUCACGUAAAAAGACAUCUGAGUGGAGUUUUUCCAGCAACAAACAAGAAACAAAGGGAGGAUUAAAAAAAUGUUUUGCUACGUAUACUGUUAUGAUUUUUUUUUCUGAAUGUAUAUAUAUGUAAAUUAAUGUUGGGAUGUGAAGAAACAAAGAAAAAGAGCAGGCAAGUUUGCUACCAUAAUAUGUAGCAUGACUUG